UACGGAGGGAGCUAGCGUUGUUCGGAAUUACUGGGCGUAAAGCGCGCGUAGGCGGCUUUGUAAGUUAGAGGUGAAAGCCCGGGGCUCAACCCCGGAACAGCCUUUAAGACUGCAUCGCUAGAAUCCGGGAGAGGUGAGUGGAAUUCCGAGUGUAGAGGUGAAAUUCGUAGAUAUUCGCAAGAACACCAGUGGCGAAGGCGGCUCACUGGCCCGGUACUGACGCUGAGGUGCGAAGGCGUGGGGAGCAAACAGG
rnacentral:rRNA from 1 species